rnacentral:rRNA from 1 species
ACACUCCUACGGGAGGCAGCAGUGGGGAAUUUUGGACAAUGGGCGAAAGCCUGAUCCAGCAAUGCCGCGUGAGUGAAGAAGGCCUUCGGGUUGUAAAGCUCUUUUGUCAGGGAAGAAACGGUGAGAGCUAAUAUCUCUUGCUAAUGACGGUACCUGAAGAAUAAGCACCGGCUAACUACGUGCCAGCAGCCGCGGUAAUACGUAGGGUGCAAGCGUUAAUCGGAAUUACUGGGCGUAAAGCGUGCGCAGGCGGUUUUGUAAGUCUGAUGUGAAAUCCCCGGGCUCAACCUGGGAAUUGCAUUGGAGACUGCAAGGCUAGAAUCUGGCAGAGGGGGGUAGAAUUCCACGUGUAGCAGUGAAAUGCGUAGAUAUGUGGAGGAACACCGAUGGCGAAGGCAGCCCCCUGGGUCAAGAUUGACGCUCAUGCACGAAAGCGUGGGGAGCAAACAGGAUUAGAUACCCCUGUAGUCCC